CAGCCGGAAGUGGGCAGGGCUUGCAUGGGGGCGGAGCUUUCUUGGCAAACCUUCCUGGCUUUUUGAGAGCCUUGAGCCACCAUGUGAGAAGACUGCCAUGCUGGAGAGGCCACAUUCUGGUCAACAGAGCCAGCCAAGCCCAGUGGUCUAGUCAUCCCUGCCAUGGUGCCAGAGAUAAGGAUGGCUCUGAUAGCAGAAGGGGGAAUGACUUUGAGAGGAGACAAUGGAUGGGAGGAAGAGACACUGAUUUGGAACUUACUGUGAUGUUUUAGGCAAGAGACGCAGAUGAUCCAAAACCGAAUGGAGGUAAAAUCAUGCUGAGAAAUAUACUGGAAAUCUGGUCUCUGCAAAUUAAACAUCUUCCAAGAGAAUCAACCACAGUGGAGAAGGUCUGGACAGUUUUGAUAAUCUUUCCUGCAGCUUUGGCUGAGAGAGGAUCAAAAGGGGAUUGAGAGUUAAAAAAAAAAAAAAGUCUCCAUAUGAUAACCCUAUGCCAUGGUUAUGGUUAGAACCGGUUUUAGAUCUGUGUAAUUAAUUAUUGACAAUGAUGACUAAUGGGUAAUGGCCUCACUUCAGUCAACAACUUCUAAGACUGACCUUUCUAAUCAACACAAAAUAUACUUUUAAGGCUGAUGUCAACUUAUCUCUGUAAU